UGAACGCUGGCGGCAGGCCUAACACAUGCAAGUCGAACGGUAACAGGAAGCAGCUUGCUGCUUUGCUGACGAGUGGCGGACGGGUGAGUAAUGUCUGGGAAACUGCCCGAUGGAGGGGGAUAACUACUGGAAACGGUAGCUAAUACCGCAUAACGUCGCAAGACCAAAGAGGGGGACCUUAGGGCCUCUUGCCAUCGGAUGUGCCCAGAUGGGAUUAGCUAGUAGGUGGGGCAACGGCUCACCUAGGCGACGAUCCCUAGCUGGUCUGAGAGGAUGACCAGCCACACUGGAACUGAGACACGGUCCAGACUCCUACGGGAGGCAGCAGUGGGGAAUAUUGCACAAUGGGCGCAAGCCUGAUGCAGCCAUGCCGCGUGUAUGAAGAAGGCCUUCGGGUUGUAAAGUACUUUCAGCGGGGAGGAAGGGAGUAAAGUUAAUACCUUUGCUCAUUGACGUUACCCGCAGAAGAAGCACCGGCUAACUCCGUGCCAGCAGCCGCGGUAAUACGGAGGGUGCAAGCGUUAAUCGGAAUUACUGGGCGUAAAGCGCACGCAGGCGGUUUGUUAAGUCAGAUGUGAAAUCCCCGGGCUCAACCUGGGAACUGCAUCUGAUACUGGCAAGCUUGAGUCUCGUAGAGGGGGGUAGAAUUCCAGGUGUAGCGGUGAAAUGCGUAGAGAUCUGGAGGAAUACCGGUGGCGAAGGCGGCCCCCUGGACGAAGACUGACGCUCAGGUGCGAAAGCGUGGGGAGCAAACAGGAUUAGAUACCCUGGUAGUCCACGCCGUAAACGAUGUCGACUUGGAGGUUGUGCCCUUGAGGCGUGGCUUCCGGAGCUAACGCGUUAAGUCGACCGCCCGGGGAGUACGGCCGCAAGGUUAAAACUCAAAUGAAUUGACGGGGGCCCGCACAAGCGGUGGAGCAUGUGGUUUAAUUCGAUGCAACGCGAAGAACCUUACCUGGUCUUGACAUCCACGGAAGUUUUCAGAGAUGAGAAUGUGCCUUCGGGAACCGUGAGACAGGUGCUGCAUGGCUGUCGUCAGCUCGUGUUGUGAAAUGUUGGGUUAAGUCCCGCAACGAGCGCAACCCUUAUCCUUUGUUGCCAGCGGUCCGGCCGGGAACUCAAAGGAGACUGCCAGUGAUAAACUGGAGGAAGGUGGGGAUGACGUCAAGUCAUCAUGGCCCUUACGACCAGGGCUACACACGUGCUACAAUGGCGCAUACAAAGAGAAGCGACCUCGCGAGAGCAAGCGGACCUCAUAAAGUGCGUCGUAGUCCGGAUUGGAGUCUGCAACUCGACUCCAUGAAGUCGGAAUCGCUAGUAAUCGUGGAUCAGAAUGCCACGGUGAAUACGUUCCCGGGCCUUGUACACACCGCCCGUCACACCAUGGGAGUGGGUUGCAAAAGAAGUAGGUAGCUUAACCUUCGGGAGGGCGCUUACCACUUUGUGAUUCAUGACUGGGGUGAAGUC
rnacentral:rRNA from 1 species